rnacentral:rRNA from 1 species
GAUGAACGCUAGCUACAGGCUUAACACAUGCAAGUCGAGGGGCAUCAGGAAGAAAGCUUGCUUUCUUUGCUGGCGACCGGCGCACGGGUGAGUAACACGUAUCCAACCUGCCCUUUACUCGGGGAUAGCCUUUCGAAAGAAAGAUUAAUACCCGAUAGCAUAAUGAUUCCGCAUGGUUUCAUUAUUAAAGGAUUCCGGUAAAGGAUGGGGAUGCGUUCCAUUAGGUUGUUGGUGAGGUAACGGCUCACCAAGCCUUCGAUGGAUAGGGGUUCUGAGAGGAAGGUCCCCCACAUUGGAACUGAGACACGGUCCAAACUCCUACGGGAGGCAGCAGUGAGGAAUAUUGGUCAAUGGGCGUUAGCCUGAACCAGCCAAGUAGCGUGAAGGAUGAAGGCUCUAUGGGUCGUAAACUUCUUUUAUAUAAGAAUAAAGUGCAGUAUGUAUACUGUUUUGUAUGUAUUAUAUGAAUAAGGAUCGGCUAACUCCGUGCCAGCAGCCGCGGUAAUACGGAGGAUCCGAGCGUUAUCCGGAUUUAUUGGGUUUAAAGGGAGCGUAGGUGGACUGGUAAGUCAGUUGUGAAAGUUUGCGGCUCAACCGUAAAAUUGCAGUUGAUACUGUCAGUCUUGAGUACAGUAGAGGUGGGCGGAAUUCGUGGUGUAGCGGUGAAAUGCUUAGAUAUCACGAAGAACUCCGAUUGCGAAGGCAGCUCACUGGACUGCAACUGACACUGAUGCUC